rnacentral:tRNA from 1 species
UCUUGGGUAGUUCAGAGGUGGAACGCCUGACUGUUAAUCAGGAUGUCGUGGGUUCGAUCCCCACCCCAAGAGCCA